UUAAAGGGACCGAGCUACAUUUUCCAACAGGCUUCUCCGGGCACAAGAUCUUCUCCCCCAUGUGGACAAGAGACUCUCUGCUCAGCCAGAGUCACUCAGACCUCACCAGCUGACAGUGUUUGUGCCCCAUCAGCACCAGGUGUCAGGUGGUGGUUCAGUCCUGCUAUUCUGUUAAACCAAGGAGCGUCUGUGGUGGGAGCAGCAGUACAGAGCCUGCAAUGUCGGCGUGAAACCCUGUGACGCUCAAAAGGCC